rnacentral:lncRNA from 1 species
GAUGUGAGGAGAAGAGGCAGAAGUGAAGCCAGGCACAGGCCCGGGCAGACCGGGGAGGCCAGGAGGUCACCACCCUGCUCCCAGCCCCUACACCACUUCUUGUCUCCACACAGGGAACGACCCAGGGCAGCACCUUCUCCUUCAAAGCCAGUUCAAAGGACGCCAGAUUUGAGACUUUCCAGACGGGUGUCCUGUGUCCGGCUUGGCUACCAACUGAUUAUAUCUUUGGCUAAGUUUCAACUGCAGAACCGGUUAGCCCUCAUAUCACUCGAUCACUCGAGGCAGAACCCUCUCAGUGAACAGUCCUCUUCUGCGGCCUGAGGAUCAAGAUGUAGAACCCUCAGCUCCUUCAGCACCACGCCUGCCUGGACACUGCCAUGCUUCCUGCCGUGAUAACAGACUGAACCUCUGAAACUGUAAGCCAGCCCCAGUUAAAUGUUGCCCUCAGAAGAGUUGCAUUGGUCAUGGUGUCUCUUCAUAGCAAUAAAACCCUAACUAAGACAUUUCGGUUGUUGUGACUGUCGCUGACAAAUGAGAGCGGAUUGGAGUGUCCACCCUGGCUGCCUGAGGCCAAGGACGUCAUACAGGCUCUGAGUGUGUUAAAAGGGCCUGGAGGGACAGCAUCGGAGGUAACAGAAUGUUAGGCAGGGGUCAGACCUCGGUAAGGAUCCUGUGAUACCAGCACAGGACUCUGCCACUUCGUCCACUCCUUCCACUGUUACUGGGACCGAAUGAAGGAUUCUUUUGUACCUCUGCCAUCCCUCAGACCUUGUCUAGCUGCUUUUCAUGGUCACAUCACAGAAUGUCCUUAGUGAGUCUCCGAGGCACAGACUUCUGCAUGCCCAGGAAUGUUUUCCUUCACCCUCUCUGAAGGGUGGCUUUGCUGCAGCUGGCACCGUGCUGAUGGUCACUUCUCACCUGACAUCGGGACACCCUUCAUUGACACCUUAGAGCCAGUGCAGCAGCCUUCUCUGCUGCUUUGGACUCUGGGCCCAAACCUGCACCUUGGAACACGGUGUGAACUGAAUACACCAGUCUGCCACAGUCUUCCACUAGCAGCCUUUGGAUGAAGACAUAGAACUCUCAGCUCCUCCUGCGCCAUGCCUGCCUGGAUGCUGCCAUGCUCCCACCUUGAUAAUACUGGACUGAACCUCUGAACCGUCUUGGUGCACGUAUGCUUGCAUGCGCAUCAGAAGCCUGAAGUUCCAUUUGUCAUCUGUCACGGUGUUUGGAGGACUGGUUGAACAUCGGGCUUCUGAGGAUUCUCUUGAUUCUGCCUUCCACCUUGCCACAGGAGUUCUGGGACCUCACUACCAUGUUUAGCUUUACACGGAUCCUGGAGACUCAAACCCAGGCCCCCAUGCUUGCAUGGCAAGCCCUUUACCCACCGCUGGCUAGUUUUAUGUCAAAUUAGUACAAGCUAGGGUUAUGUGAGAGGAGGGAACCUCAGUAAAGAAAAAUGCCUCUGUAAGAGCAGGCUGUAGGCCAGCCUGGAGGGGAUUUUCUUGGUUACUGAUUGAUAAUGGAGGGCCCAGCCCAUUGUGGACGUUGCCACCGCUGGGCUGGCGGUGCUGUAAGAAAGCAGGCUGACGAGUAUGAAGCUAGUAAGCAGUCUUUCCCUGUGGCCUUUGUAUCUGCUCCUGCCUCUAGGUUCCUAGCCUGCUUGAGUCCCUGUCCUAACUUCCUCAGUGACAGACUGGCCUGUGGAACUAUAAGUUGAAAUAAACCUUUUCUACCCGAAGUCUUGCCCACCUGGUCACCGGCAUCAGACCCCCUGGCCGCACUUGGGGUUGUCCCUCCGACGAGCCUGCAGCCAGUCCAGGGACCCGGGACUCGCUCUGCACAGACAGGAAAUUGGGACUGAGCCUACCCCGAAAUGUCACUCAUCUUGGGAGUCAGAAUUGGAGAUGGGAACCCCAGCUCUG